rnacentral:sRNA from 21 species
GUCAACUACCCCGGGCUAAAAGCCCGAGGCUUGCAAAAGUCUGGUUGACCAGCUUCAGUCAGCAAUGCUGACUACGUUGCAAAGAGGUUCAAGACUCACUCCGGGGUGCUUCCUCAGCUCCGGACCCUGAA